GGGGGCGAUCCGGAUUCGACGACGGUUGCGAAACCCAAGGUGCAUGUCGAGAGGGUAGUAACUCUCGUUAAACAAUUGCUGCAACUUCUAUAGUUGCCAACGACGAAAACUACGCACUAGCCGCGUAAGUCGGCUAACCCCGGACGAUAAGUGCUCGUGAUUUGACUCCGGGGGCUCGUUUCACGAGAUCGCAGACAAGUCCCGCUUGAGACAACACCUGCUAAAAACCCUUUCAAGCUCGCCUGCAACACCCUGUUCGUCGGGCUAGAUGCGGGUUAAAACAUAGACGAAACUAAACAUGUAGAGCCGAAGGUAGAGUACUGGCGGACGCGGGUUCGAUUCCCGCCGCCUCCACCA
rnacentral:tmRNA from 1 species